UUUAUAUACGUGUGUGUGCAUGUAUAUAUGUAUGUGUACAUACAUCACACUCUUUAUGCAUACACACACACACACACACACACACACACACACACACAC
rnacentral:miRNA from 1 species